rnacentral:misc_RNA from 1 species
CAGAGUUCGUGCCCUCACGGGUAGAUCUCCCACCCUGUGUUAUUCUCACCUUUGUUGCUUUGGCGGGCCGCCAGGCUUCGGCCAGGCUACCGGCCCCGGCUGGUACGCGCCCGCCAGAGGACCCCAACUCUUGUUUUUAGUGAUGUCUGAGUACUAUAUAAUAGUUA